AGUGAACGCUGGCGGUAGGCCUAACACAUGCAAGUCGAACGGCAGCACAGUAAGAGCUUGCUCUUACGGGUGGCGAGUGGCGGACGGGUGAGGAAUACAUCGGAAUCUACUUUUUCGUGGGGGAUAACGUAGGGAAACUUACGCUAAUACCGCAUACGACCUACGGGUGAAAGCAGGGGAUCUUCGGACCUUGCGCGAUUGAAUGAGCCGAUGUCGGAUUAGCUAGUUGGCGGGGUAAAGGCCCACCAAGGCGACGAUCCGUAGCUGGUCUGAGCGGAUGAUCAGCCACACUGGAACUGAGACACGGUCCAGACUCCUACGGGAGGCAGAAGUGGGGAAUAUUGGACAAUGGGCGCAAGCCUGAUCCAGCCAUACCGCGUGGGUGAAGAAGGCCUUCGGGUUGUAAAGCCCUUUUGUUGGGAAAGAAAAGCAGCAGGUUAAUACCCCGCUGUUCUGACGGUACCCAAAGAAUAAGCACCGGCUAACUUCGUG
rnacentral:rRNA from 1 species